ACCUGGUUAGCUCAGUUGGUAGAUCUGCUCCACCUGUAAUGGAGAGGUCCCGGGUUCGAUACCCGGAUCAGGCG
rnacentral:tRNA from 2 species